AUCCAGCUGACGAGUCCCAAAUAGGACGAAUGUGCAUCCUGGAU
rfam:Trichobilharzia regenti genome assembly, scaffold: TRE_scaffold0038040